rnacentral:rRNA from 1 species
CAGGGAAUCUUGUCCAAUGGGCGAAAGCCUGAGACAGCGACGCCGCGUGAGGGAUGAAGGCCUUCGGGUUGUAAACCUCUUUCAGGAGGGACGAAAUUGACGGUACCUCCAGAAGAAGCCCCGGCCAACUACGUGCCAGCAGCCGCGGUAGUACGUAGGGGGCAAGCGUUGUCCGGAUUUAUUGGGCGUAAAGGGCUCGUAGGCGGCUCAACAAGUCGAUCGUGAAAACCCAGGGCUCAACCCUGGGACGCCGGUCGAUACUGUUGUGGCUUGGGUCCGGUAGAGGAGAAUGGAAUUCCCGGUGUAGCGGUGAAAUGCGCAGAUAUCGGGAGGAACACCAGUAGCGAAGGCGGUCCUCUGGGCCGGUACCGACGCUGAGGAGCGAAAGCGUGGGGAGCAAACAGGAUUAGAUACCCUGGUAGUCCACGCUGUAAACGUUGGACACUAGGUGUGGCGGAUUUAUCAACGUCUGCUGUGCCGUAGCUAACGCGUUAAGUGUCCCGCCUGGGGAGUACGGCCGCAAGGCUA